rnacentral:rRNA from 1 species
GACGAACGCUGGCGGCGCGCCUAACACAUGCAAGUCGAACGGAGUUAUUUUCUUCACUCCGAGCUUUUUGCCAGUUAGCCGGAGCGGCAAUCGGUUUUGCCCAGCAUAAAAAGCAAAACCGAUUUAGGCUCAUAAAGUAAGGCUAACACAGAGGGCAGAGAGUUGGGAGUGAAGAAAAUAACUUAGUGGCGAACGGGUGAGUAACGCGUGAGUAACCUGCCCUGGAGUGGGGGACAACAGUUGGAAACGACUGCUAAUACCGCAUAAGCCCACGGCCCGGCAUCGGGCUGCGGGAAAAGGAUUUAUUCGCUUCAGGAUGGACUCGCGUCCAAUUAGCUAGUUGGUGAGGUAACGGCCCACCAAGGCGACGAUUGGUAGCCGGACUGAGAGGUUGAACGGCCACAUUGGGACUGAGACACGGCCCAGACUCCUACGGGAGGCAGCAGUGGGGGAUAUUGCACAAUGGGGGAAACCCUGAUGCAGCGACGCCGCGUGGAGGAAGAAGGUUUUCGGAUUGUAAACUCCUGUCGUUAGGGACGAUAAUGACGGUACCUAACAAGAAAGCACCGGCUAACUACGUGCCAGCAGCCGCGGUAAAACGUAGGGUGCAAGCGUUGUCCGGAAUUACUGGGUGUAAAGGGAGCGCAGGCGGACCGGCAAGUUGGAAGUGAAAACUAUGGGCUCAACCCAUAAAUUGCUUUCAAAACUGCUGGCCUUGAGUAGUGCAGAGGUAGGUGGAAUUCCCGGUGUAGCGGUGGAAUGCGUAGAUAUCGGGAGGAACACCAGUGGCGAAGGCGACCUACUGGGCACCAACUGACGCUGAGGCUCGAAAGCAUGGGUAGCAAACAGGAUUAGAUACCCUGGUAGUCCAUGCCGUAAAC